CAUAAACACAAGAGCUAAAAAUCCUUCGUUAUUGCAUUGGGUUGGUCCUCCAUAACUAUUUAGGGUCAUAGAGCAAGUUAAAGGGAAAACUUGAAUAGGAGCACAGUUCUCUUGUAAACCACACCACCUUCUCCAAUUUACUGCCUGUCUUCACAAUCUCUCUUGUUCCCAUGGCUCCAUUAGUCAUUACAAUGAAUUUUAAUUAAAAACUCUCUCAGAUGUUCUUUGUAAUCAAAAACAUCCCAUUACAAUACAUCUUACUCUUUAUGACUAAGGUAACUUUUUGCAAUUUUUUUCCCUAUCUCUGCACUAAGGUAAGAGUAUGAGAUGAGGUAGGGAUAGGAGGAAAAUUCAAACAUUAUACAUUAUUUUCUUUUAUGAUAUAUAUAAUAUAUAUAUCAUUUAUUUCUAUUAUAUUUUUUAAUCUACUGCAAUAAACAUCCCCCUGUACAGGCUCUGAAAAUUACUGAAAAUGUAUCAGGAGAGUUUAACCUUGCAUCCACUACAUUUUCUCAUAUUGCUGUGGUCUUGAGAAUGAAAUGAUCCAUUAUAAUGUUUGAAUUUGAAAUGCAUUGACAUCUGGCUGAGAGACCCAUGGCAAAUUUUUUAAACACUUUGAACAUUAUAUUUUUGACAAUAGGGUAAUAAUAUAAAUUCCAUAAUGUUCCUUUAAAGGUUAAAUAAGUUCCACUAUUGAAAUGUUUCUUUUUCUUCCGAGUGUUAGUUUUCUUAUAUUGUAAACAGAAAUGGCUGAACUGCAUUCGUACUAAAAUUUCUUUCAUCUUCACAUUUCUACAGGAAUAAUUCUAUAAUAGCAAUAAUUCAGUAAUUCUAUAGGAAGAAGGGUUGAUACCUCCACUGGGAUUGAUAGAGGUCUACUAGAAAGUCCUUUGACCAUAACAAGUGGUCUAAAUCUGUGUUCUUACAGAAUCUAGACAAUGUCAAAAUAGAGAUUAGGGCUUUCAAGAGAAGUAUGUGAUAGCCUUUUUUUUUCUCUGCAGAAAAUUAUUUGGCCAGUUACAUCUCUGGAAGGAUACAAAUCACAUUAUCUGUUGUGUCCAGAAAUACACUAAACUUUUGUUACAUAACAGAAAUUCCUACAUUUUUAUUUGUAAAACCCAAAACCUUACUUUGUUUCAUCCAAACUUAAUGUCUUUUUCUUUAAUGUGUAUCAACCAUUUCUAUAUAUUCAUGACUUUUUUUCUGCUCUGCUCACUUUCAUUUUUUUUGCUCACUUUCAAAUUCUUUGAGUAUCUGUACACUAUUCACAGAACCCCAAUCUCAAGAAUUUGAGUGAUUUGUCUUCCUUCUAACUUAACCUUUUAUAGCCCAAUCAUAUCUUAAGUAUUUGAAAAGGUUCCAGAAAAUAAAAUCUCAAAAGGUUAUGAUUUAAAGUAAUGAAAAUUUUCUUUGCAUAUGAUACUUCAUUCCUGUUAAAUCCCCUAAAAAUAGUUUGCUGUUUUCUGUCAACUGUAUUUUGCCUGAAAGGGAGGAAGUAAUUACUAAGAACAGGAUUAGGCUGGUUUGGGAAAUACUUUCAUGGCACCCUGUAAGCAUUUUAGUCGACUUUGAAACUAUGGCUAAAACAAAGUAAUUUUAUUUCCCUUCCUGAUUUUGUAGCUUUCUUGCUCCCUGAGAAUUAUAACAUAGUGACUUGGUGUUGCUUGCAAGAAUAUUGGAUUUCACUGGGUGCCAGAUCAUACCGUCUUUUUAAAUCAUGUUCCUUUCAUAGAUAAUUUGCCCCACUGUAAAAUCAUUAAGGAUAUUCAUUAAGUAUGCCACUCUUUUGUAGAGGAUCAAUAUAUCUAAAAUAAAAGGCACAGUUGUUUGCAUUUAGUUUCAGUCAUGUUUUCUUUUAGGCUUUCAGUAUUUUGUUUUUAAUACGCCAGAGUAGCUCCUCAUGUAAUGAGAUGGCACCUUGUGUAAUGAGCUACUGUUUAUUGUUAUUCCUGGCAACAGACCAUACGAGGGCAAGGCCUGUUAAAUACAAGUGCGCACCGGAGAUGCUCUUUCAACCUGCAGUGAGGGCCUGUAUGAGCAGAGGAAGGACAAUAUUUUUCCUUCUGUUUAGUCUCCAGGCAGAUUACAGAUGUCUCCAGCCUUUCUGUCUAGAGGCCUGGAUCUGCUAUGCUUGGAUAUUUCAUGUUAUCAAUCAAAGAAAAAUAGGAAUUAUUGCUAUUUCACAAUUUAACAGGAUAUUUUAAAAAAGCCUUGGAAUUAUCUGCCUUCCUUUAUCAUUAAAUGUCUACAAAGAGGUGUACACAAUCUUCACCGGACUCAUGAGGACAGAGGUACACACAUUCAUUUUGGGGAUUAAUCAGUAAGAGGCUGGAAUUAUUUGAGCUUGCUUCAGAUGAAAUUUGUAUCUCUAACCCCGGUACAUUAAGAUAAAAAAAAAAGAGAAAAAGUAAUAGAUUAAUGCAUUUAAAUUACUACAAUGGAAUGUCUAAGAAAAGGCAAGAAGUAGGUGAAGAAAAGCCUCUGUAAAGCUUAGAAAAUGAUUUGCACAUCGAUGACAGAAUUAAAGUAACUCAGUUCUGUUUUUCAUGUUUGUAAGAUCUGUUCUACCAGUGCUCACUUUGAAUCUUCUGUCUAAACACAGGAAUAUGUCAGAGCACUGGGGUGCUCCAGUCAUACUGAGAACAGCCACCAAAAUUGACAGGUACUUAUUUACCUAAGGAAGCAAUUAAAUAGAAACAUGAUCUCAUAUAUGAGAUUUAAAAGUAUGGUUAAGCAAGAAGAAACUAUUCACUAGUUCUUUACAACUCUAUGGAUGAUCUUUCUGUUCUCUUUUUAGCUAAGCAAAGUGUUUCAAACUUCACAAAGAAAGAGAAGAGCUUAUCUUGUUAAACCGUCUUUGAGAACUGUACUUGUCAGUGAUGUGAGUGGAUGAGUGUGAAUCUUCUGAAAUUGUUUUGUGAGAUCUGCAUACAGAAAAUCUCUCUUGGGAGCCUACUGAUGAUAUCAAACUACACACUUAAGCCCUUUCAGCUCUAGAAGAGUUCAUUUACUUUUAGGUUUGUUAAUUGAUGCAUUUUUGCAAGAUUGUCAGACUGUCCCAACUAUUCCAAAGAAAAUCUCUUUUUUGCUCAUGAGAGUCUUAAGAAUGAGUUCAAUAUCUCAUCCAUAAAAUGACUAUUUUAUUCUUAUCCAUAUUUAUUAUCUGCCCUUUGUACAUUUUAUCACUCUAAAACAUUUUGCUAGCAUGAUCUCAUUUAUCAUUUAUUGCCUCUCUUAUCUUUUGCUACUGGCAGGACACUCAGUGAAUUGUGUACCUUUUCAAAGUAACACAUGCUCCAUGAGGCAAAGUGCCAAAUAUCACUCCCCAGGUUACCUCCUCUUUCUCAAAAUAUUGAUUUUCUUCUCUGAGGUUGAUCCAAGAGUCCCAUGAUAUUGGUGGCUGUCUACUGAUCUCCCCAAUGAGGGGCAGGCCCCCUAGGGUUCUAGUCAUGGCAAGCUGUCAUGGCUUUAAAAACUGGCAAGCACUCUGUCAGGAAAGACAGAUUAAAGUGUAACCUUGCUGUUUCAUACUUCACUGCUAAUAUCAUGACCAUCUAUUAAAAGUGCUUUCUUUGGAGGCAUAGAUUGCUGUUUCUUCUAUAAUAUCACCUGUGUGUUGUUUAAAAAUCUUGUGGUGUGGAAAAUUGCACACAAAAUAGUAGAACUUAUAGGAAAAAAUAUGAUGAGAAGAUCUAUGCAACUUUGUAGUGAGAACACUAAGAAGUAAUUUUUUAACAAAAUCAAAAGAAACAAGACACUGCUACACUUAAAAACAUAUUAAGUUACUAAUAACCUUCCUGUUAAAGCAAUAACCAUUUAAUGAUAGUUUUGAUGGAAAGUGUGGAAGGAGAGGAUUGCAAUAACUGAGUUAUUUAGACAAAAAAAACUCCAAUAAACACUUCUGGAAUAGAAUAUAUGGCAGAAGAAAGAAUGGCAGGUGACUGGCAUCUUAGAUAGCAGGUAUACAUCCAUUAGUUACAAUAAGCAGUAUACUCAUUAUAGUUACAGUUACUAUCAGCAGUACAGUAGUCUAAUAUGGGUUCAGCUGCCCUUUCAACAGGGAAAAAUAUGAAUGAGUUAAGUAAAAUAACAAAGAACCAACACAGUUUUCAUUCCUUAAGUGUUGAAACUUACAGUUUUCCCUAAUGAACCAGAGAAUGGUAAAUGGCCUUACCUUCUCAUCCACGAGUCCCCCAAAACAGAGUUGUAUUGUCAGGAGUUACCAUUAUUAGGGUAAGGAGACUAUAAUAUGUACAAGUACCAAUUCUCAAAAAGUUAACAAGAAACAAACACUUGUAAGAACUGAAAUUUUAAGUUUUUAAAUUCAUGUAUAUUAAUUUUUUUAACAUUUUAUAUUAUCUCAUAUUCAGCUCAUUGUAUUUUCAAUUUAAAGAACGGUGACUAUGAGAUAUUUCUAAAUUUUAGCAGGAGUGCCAAUGGUCAGGAUUAUUAAAAAUGAUUUUAUAACAAAUGUAUGAUGUUUGAAAUUACGUAUUAUUACACUGUUGAUGUUUUUAUUUUACUUUCCUCUUUUUUUGGUCCCUUGAAAUAUUUGCUAUGUUCUUUUAUAAUAGAAAAUAAAUAUUUGGAAGGUCAGAUUUCAGUAAUUGGUAUUCCUAAUUGAGAAAUUUUGUGGGCCAAUAACAAUGUGCUGAUUUUUAAAAAAAAUUUUAAUGUUUAUUUAUUUUUGAGAGAGAAAGAGCACGA